rnacentral:rRNA from 1 species
UACUCUUGGACAGCCUUCUGAAGGGAAGAUUAAUACAAGAUGGCAUCAUGAGUCCGCAUGUUCACAUGAUUAAAGGUAUUCCGGUAGACGAUGGGGAUGCGUUCCAUUAGAUAGUAGGCGGGGUAACGGCCCACCUAGUCUUCGAUGGAUAGGGGUUCUGAGAGGAAGGUCCCCCACAUUGGAACUGAGACACGGUCCAAACUCCUACGGGAGGCAGCAGUGAGGAAUAUUGGUCAAUGGGCGAGAGCCUGAACCAGCCAAGUAGCGUGAAGGAUGACUGCCCUAUGGGUUGUAAACUUCUUUUAUGAAGGAAUAAAGUCGGGUAUGAAUACCCGUUUGCAUGUACUUUAUGAAUAAGGAUCGGCUAACUCCGUGCCAGCAGCCGCGGUAAUACGGAGGAUCCGAGCGUUAUCCGGAUUUAUUGGGUUUAAAGGGAGCGUAGAUGGAUGUUUAAGUCAGUUGUGAAAGUUUGCGGCUCAACCGUAAAAUUGCAGUUGAUACUGGAUAUCUUGAGUGCAGUUGAGGCAGGCGGAAUUCGUGGUGUAGCGGUGAAAUGCUUAGAUAUCACGAAGAACUCCGAUUGCGAAGGCAGCCUGCUAAGCUGCAACUGACAUUGAGGCUCGAAAGUGUGGGUAUCAAACAGGAUUAGAUACCCUGGUAGUCCACACGGUAAACGAUGAAUACUCGCUGUUUGCGAUAUACUGCAAGCGGCCAAGCGAAAGCGUUAAGUAUUCCACCUGGGGAGUAC